rnacentral:rRNA from 1 species
AUGGGAACGCGAAGAACCUUACCUAGACUUGACAUCUCCUGAAUAGUGUAGAGAUACAUGAAGCCCUUCGGGGCAGGAAGACAGGUGGUGCAUGGUUGUCGUCAGCUCGUGUCGUGAGAUGUUGGGUUAAGUCCCGCAACGAGCGCAACCCUUAUUACUAGUUGCUACCAUUAAGUUGAGCACUCUAGUGAGACUGCCCGGGUUAACCGGGAGGAGGCGGGGAUGACGUCAAAUCAUCAUGCCCCUUAUGUCUAGGGCAACACACGUGCUACAAUGGUGAGUACAGAUAGAUGCGAUACCGCAAGGUGGAGCCAAACUCUAAAACUCAUCCCAGUUCGGAUUGUAGGCUGCAACUCGCCUACAUGAAGCUGGAGUUACUAGUAAUCGCAGAUCAGAAUGCUGCGGUGAAUGCGUUCCC